GUGCAGUUCCUUUUGGGCUAAAUACCUUAGGGGGGAUGACGUACCUGAAAGAAUAAGCACCGGCUAACUACGUGCCAGCAGCCGCGGUAAUACGUAGGGUGCAAGCGUUAAUCGGAAUUACUGGGCGUAAAGCGUGCGCAGGCGGUUGUGUAAGACAGGUGUGAAAUCCCCGGGCUUAACCUGGGAAUUGCAUUUUGUGACUGCACGACUAGAGUGUGUCAGAGGGGGGUGGAAUUCCACGUGUAGCAGUGAAAUGCGUAGAUAUGUGGAGGAACACCAAUGGCGAAGGCAGCCCCCUGGGAUAACACUGACGCUCAUGCACGAAAGCGUGGGGAGCAAACAGGAUUAGAUACCCUGGUAGUCCACGCCCUAAACGAUGUCAACUAGUUGUUGGGGAUUUACUUCCUUGGUAACGUAGCUAACGCGUGAAGUUGACCGCCUGGGGAGUACGGCCGCAAGGUUAAAACUCAAAGGAAUUGACGGGGACCCGCACAAGCGGUGGAUGAUGUGGAUUAAUUCGAUGCAACGCGAAAAACCUUACCUACCCUUGACAUGGCAGGAACUUUCCAGAGAUGGAUUGGUGCUCGAAAGAGAACCUGCACACAGGUGCUGCAUGGCUGUCGUCAGCUCGUGUCGUGAGAUGUUGGGUUAAGUCCCGCAACGAGCGCAACCCUUGUCAUUAGUUGCUACGAAAGGGCACUCUAAUGAGACUGCCGGUGACAAACCGGAGGAAGGUGGGGAUGACGUCAAGUCCUCAUGGCCCUUAUGGGUAGGGCUUCACACGUCAUACAAUGGUCGGUACAGAGGGUUGCCAAGCCGCGAGGUGGAGCCAAUCCCAGAAAACCGAUCGUAGUCCGGAUCGCAGUCUGCAACUCGACUGCGUGAAGUCGGAAUCGCUAGUAAUCGCGGAUCAGAAUGCCGCGGUGAAUACGUUCCCGGGUCUUGUACACACCGCCCGUCACACCAUGGGAGUGGGUUCUACCAGAAGUGGCUAGUCUAACCGCAAGGAGGACGGUCACCACGGUAGGAUUCAUGACUGGGGUGAAGUCGUAACAAGGUA
rnacentral:rRNA from 1 species